rnacentral:rRNA from 1 species
UGGGGAAUAUUGCGCAAUGGGCGAAAGCCUGACGCAGCGACGCCGCGUGAGGGAUGAAGGUUUUCGGAUCGUAAACCUCUGUCAGAAGGGAAGAAACCGCACUGUGCUAAUCAGCAGUGCCUUGACGGUACCUUCAAAGGAAGCACCGGCUAACUCCGUGCCAGCAGCCGCGGUAAUACGGAGGGUGCAAGCGUUAAUCGGAAUUACUGGGCGUAAAGCGCACGUAGGCUGCUUUGUAAGUCAGGGGUGAAAUCCCACGGCUCAACCGUGGAACUGCCUUUGAUACUGCUUAGCUUGAAUCCGGGAGAGGGUGGCGGAAUUCCAGGUGUAGGAGUGAAAUCCGUAGAUAUCUGGAGGAACAUCAGUGGAGAAGGCGGCCACCUGGACCGGUAUUGACGAUGAGGUGCGAAAGCGUGGGGAGCAAACAGG